rnacentral:rRNA from 1 species
CCUACGGUGGGCAGCAGUGAGGAAUAUUGGUCAAUGGACGAGAGUCUGAAUCAGCCAAGUAGCGUGAAGGAUGACUGCCCUAUGGGUUGUAAACUUCUUUUAUAAAGGAAUAAAACGCGGCACGUGUGCCUUUUUGCAUGUACUUUAUGAAUAAGGAUCUGCAAACUCCGUGCCAGCAGCCGAGGUAAUACGGAGGAACCGAGCGUUACCCGGAUUUAUGGGGUUUAAGGGGAGCGUGGAUGGGUUGUUAAGUCAGUUGUGAAAGUUUGCGGCUCAACCGUAAAAUUGCAAUUGAUACGGGCAGUCGUGAGUACAGUUGAGGAAGGCGGAAUUCGUGGUGUAGCGGUGAAAGCCUUAGAAAUC